UACGAGUGCCUCAAGCGUUAUCCGGAAUCACUGGGCGUAAAGGGUGUGUAGGCGGUUUUGUUAGUCCAUGGUCAAAUUCUUCGGCUUAACCGGGGGUCCGCCAUGGAAACGGCAAAACUUUGAGGGUGCGAGAGGUGAAUGGAACUCAUGGUGUAGGGGUGAAAUCCGUUGAUAUCAUGGGGAACACCAAAAGCGAAGGCAAUUCACUGGCGCAUUCCUGACGCUGAGACACGAAAGCGUGGGUAGCGAAUGGG
rnacentral:rRNA from 1 species